AAUUCUCAACCUUAUUAGCUUUUGCUGGUAAUGGCUUGGACUUGGGGGUUAUUUGCUGGCUUCUUCAUGAGAUCAGCUCCCCUUAAAUGCAUUAGCUGGUUGUCUUUGACUUGUCUAUUGGUGUGAUAAUUAUCUACGCCGUGGGCUUGUCUGCUUAGCACCGCUUCUAACUGUCUGUUGACUCAGACACUUUAUGACA
rnacentral:misc_RNA from 1 species